rnacentral:rRNA from 1 species
CCUACGGGACGCAGCAGUAGGGAAUUUUCGUCAAUGGGCGCAAGCCUGAACGAGCAAUGCCGCGUGAACGAGGAAGGUCUUCGUAUCGUAAAGUUCUGUUGACGGGGAAAAAGAGCGGAGAGAGGAAACGAACUCCGAUUGAUAUUACCCUUCGAGGAAGUCACGGCUAACUACGUGCCAGCAGCCGCGGUAAUACGUAGGUGGCGAGCGUUAUCCGGAAUGAUUGGGCGUAAAGGGUGCGUAGGCGGCCUGCUACGUCUGGCGUGAAAGGUACCGGCACAACCGGUACAGGCUCUGGAAACUGG